rnacentral:rRNA from 1 species
CCUGCCCUGUGAUUUUUUUAACGGCCGCAGUACUUUGACUGUGCUAAGGUAGCAUAAUAAAUUGGCUUUUAAUUGAGGUCGAGUAUGAAAGGGAUCAUGGGAAGAAACUGUCUCCAUAAAAUUAUAUAAAAUUUACUUAGUAGGUGAAAAUACCUACGACUAUUACUUUAGACGAGAAGACCCUUAGAAUUACAGUUAAUGAAAUAAUAUUAUUUCUUUGCUUUUGUUGGGGCAACAUUGUUAGGAGAUAACCAACAUUUUUACAAAGUUAUAUGACUUUUUUUAACAGAAAGAUAUAAAUUACCUUAGGGAUAACAGCAUAAUUAUAUUUAUAGAUUGUGACCUCGAUGUUGGACUAGGGACUUUAAUUAUUAGCCAUUAUUAAAGAUAGUUCUGUUCGAACUGUAACACCCU